UCCCUGGUGGCUCAGUGGUAAAGAAUCUGCCUACAAUGCAGGAGACCCGGGUUCGAUCCCUGGGUUGGGAA
rnacentral:tRNA from 1 species